UAUUCAUAUUAUUAGAACUGUUGCUAAUGCCUGGGUUAUCAUUUUGCUGCCUGUGGGAAUAUGAAUAUAUAUAUACACUGAGUUAGAGGGCUCUAAAAUUAUCCUCAGAAAGAUGAGGCCCGGGAUCAAUAUUUUUAAAGAUUUGAGACAGGCUUUCCCAGGAGUAUGGCAUUCUUUUUAUUCCCAUGGAAAGGAACAGAGCUGGUAUUGCACAUUUCAUUGAUGGGUUUGUGGACCAGGAAAUCAAAAUGGAAAACAGAGGGCCCUGCUGACUUUUAUGCUCAAAAUUUCUCUAGAGACAUCUCCAAAGAGAAGAAUGUCAGAUGCAGAGGAAAACCCACUGGAAGAAACAGAAGAAUAUGGAGAAAUAGAAAUGGAAGAAGGAGAAGAAGAAGAAAAAUAUCCAAAUGAUGAAGGGCUAGAAAAUAUGCAACAGGAAUUAAAAGAAGAUAACACAUUAGCGUGGAGAGGGUCUCAGGAGGAGGGGGAAGUGGAGGGGGAGGAAGCGGAGGGGAAGGAAGAGGGGGAAGAAUUUGGGAAGGAGGAGGCAGCAGGAGCACAGGAAGAAACCACAGUGAAGCCCCAAGAAAUCACCAAGUCCAUGAUCAGUUUGGAGAGACUUACACCGACUGAUUCCCAAUCAGUCUUGUCAGGAACACUCCCAAAAACCUAUAGUGGUAGAGAGUCAAAGCAUUCAUUACAAUCAGAGCUUUUGGAAACACUCGAACUUCCAAGAAGCAUGGCCUCACAAUUAGAGUUUCUUGAUUUGGAUCUAACCACUUCUGCGGAACAACAGCUUAGUUCCCCUGAAAAGCAGCCUUCGGGCGAGCUUGCAGAGAGAACUGACCAGAGGCCCCAAGAUGAAUUGGGACAAGAAAGGAGACACUUGGAACCAGAAAGGGGAGACUUGGAGCCAGAAAAGAGAGAAGGGAGAAAAGAAAAAAGAGUAUUAUACGUAAAUGAGAAAAAAGAAAAAGAAUUCCAGCCCAAAGCAAGCAUCCCUAAGGUGUCACUGGUCUCCACUGCCACCGAGGACAUUUUGUUCCAAAAGGAUGACGGUGCCAACGUGUAUCCCUUGGCCAUGACCUGGUCAUUCGGAUGGAACAGUUCCCUUCCUGUUUACUACAUUCAAGAUGAAAACCAGAGAGUUCUUCUGUAUGCCAGUGCUCACACUGCGGUCAUCUACAAUGUCUUCAAGAAUAACCAGCACCAUCUUCAGGGCCACCCCAACGUCAUCUCCUGCCUCUGCAUCAGUGAAGACAGGCGCUGGGUCUCCACGGCUGACAAAGGGCCCGACUGCCUGAUAAUCAUAUGGGACUGCUUCACGGGCAUUCCUGUGCACACGAUAUUCGACAGCUGCCCAGAAGGUGAUGGCAUCAGGGCCAUAGCCAUCACCCACGAUGCCAAGUACCUGGCGACCAUCUCGGACGGUGAGAUCCAGAAAGUUUGCAUCUGGAGGUGGACUUUAGCGGUGGAAACACCGGCCUGCACUCUUAACCUUCCCAAAGAGUAUGGUUUUCAGAGCUACCUUACUUUUAAUCCAACAAAUAAUAAAGAAUUGGUGAGCAAUAGUAAAACACAAGCAAUAUAUUAUAUGUGGUAUGAAGAGGGAGAUAUACUUGUUCACAGUGCCCCACUUUUAACAGAAAAAACAUUCAACAAGCUCGUGGGAAAAUUUAGCCAGUCAGUCUUUCAUUUGAAUUUAACCCAAAUACUGUCGGCGACAAUGGAAGGGAAGCUGGUUGUCUGGGACAUUUACCGCCCACCGCUGUCUGCCUCCACCUCUUUGGGCUUUCCCCACAUCAUACCUUGUAAACUGGUUCAUUUGCAGAAGGAGGGUAUCACUGUGCUUACUACAGUUGACAGCUAUAUUGUCACAGGUGACAUUCGGGGUAACAUCAAGUUCUACGAUCACACCCUGUCCAUUGUGAACUGGUACAGCCACUUCAAACUGAGCUCCAUAAGAAGCCUGUCCUUCUCAAAGACGCUGGCAACUCCUCCGACUGAAAAUACAAACUAUCCUCCAGACUGCACUUUAAAAGGUGACCGUUUUAUUGUAAGGAAUUUUAUCAUUGGAACGUCGGAUGCGUCAGUGUACCACUUAACAGCAGAUGGGACCAAACUUGAGAAGUUAUUUGUAGAGCCCAAGGAUGCCAUUUGUGCCAUCUCCUGCCACCCGUACCAACCCCUCAUUGCCAUCGGGAGUUUCUGUGGGGUGAUCAAAGUGUGGGAUUAUGAACAGAAAAAAUACCUCUUCAGCAGGAUCUUUGAGAAGGGGCUUGGAGUCCAGAGUCUGACCUACAACCCCGAAGGAGCUCUCCUUGGAGCUGGCUUCACAGAAGGGACCGUUUACAUUCUUGAUGCAAUGUCCUUAGAAAGUGAAAUCCCAGAGCCUUUCAAAUAUUCCAGAACCAGUGUGACUCACGUCAGCUUCUCCCAUGACUCCCAGUAUAUGGCGACCGCUGAUGUAAGUUUCACCGUGGCUGUUUACGUGGUGAGAGUCAAAAAUGGACGAAGGGUCUGGGAGUAUUUGGCAAGACUUCGUUCUCAUCGCAAGAGCAUUCGAAGUGUCCUGUUCGGGGUUCAUCUGGACAGCAAUGAGCCGAGACUGCUGAGCCUCGGGAGAGACAGACUCUUGAUCGAGUAUAAUCUACUCAAGAGCUACAAAGACCACCUGGAAGUCCUGGACAUUCAGCGAACCGACCAGGGCAGCUACCCCACCUGUAUGGUCUGGUACCCGCCACUUACCAAGGAGCUCUUCCUCCUCAUUUGCAACAGUGGCUACAAAGUGAAGCUUUUCAAUUCAACCACAAAAAUGUGCAGAAAGACACUCCUCGGGCCAGUUUACGGAUCUCCCAUUGAGCAGAUACAAAUCCUCCCAGUGAAAACCCCUCUGGAACUUCAGAAGCGCUACAUGGUGUUUAUUAACAGGGACAAGGUUGGACUUCAGAUCUUACCAGUUGACGGCAACCCACAUAAGACAUCUGCUCUUAUAUGCCACCCCAGCGGGGUGGCUGGAAUGGACGUUUCCUAUGAUGGCCGCUACGCCUUCACAGCGGGAGGGCAGGACCGGUCGGUGGUGCAGUGGGAAAUCAAUUUAAGACUUUCAGUUCUGCUCAUUACCCUGGUCUGAAGCCCCGACAGAUGGUGUGUAAGGCCCAGGAGUAGGAGGUGCAACUCUAACACAUUUGGCAAGUAAGGACCAUCUGUUGGUUUGAGCUCACGGGGAAGUGAAGGGCCAGAUCUUGGGGUUAGGUGCCCUUUCUCCUCCCCCUGCUUUCCCUCCUCCCCCUCCCCCUCCCCCCCUAGGGAGCGUUUACUGGGCUCUUGCUAUAUGCUGGUUGCUGUGCUCACUGUUUCUUGGGCUUUAGCUCAUUCCCCACAGCACUGAGUAUAUUUCUGGGCACACACACAGUAGGUUUUCAAUAAAUGUACCUCCAUCUUGUGCCCCAAUGGCCUCUUUUUUUGUGGCAAGCAUUAGAACCCAACUUAGGCAGAAAGGGGAGGUUACGAGCGGGUCCUGGAGUCUCGGGUCACCGCACUGCGGGGAGAGCAGCCCAGCCCACCCUCAGCGUUUGCUCUCAGCUCGCCUCUGCUGUUGCUGUCUCUCUGCAGAGCUGGAUUUCGUCACUCAGUGGGGACUCGGCCACUGACAGUCCCCAGAUUUCACACCAGAGAGAGGGAGUCUCUUGCCCCAGCUCUGGUGGGACAAGCCCAGCCCUGUCCCUCUGGCUCUCAGGUCAGCUGAGCUGACAGUGGCCGGGAAGCAGGGGACACGGUGUAGUCCUGACUGCUGGAGGGCCGUUCCCAGAGAAUCCAGAGCUCUGUGAGCCUGUCCCCUGGGGCCUUCAGGUGGUGACAGGCUCCUCCAUGUCACUUGGGCCUUUACCUGGCCCUGCUUCAGAAUCAAAUGGCCAAUAGUGGCCUCACUGCCCUCAGAGCCUGUUGGGAUUGGGCCUGGGCCUGGCCUGGAGGCCACAGAGCGGGAGCCCUCUCAGCUGGACACCUGCCUCGAUGGGUAAUAUCAGAGCCAAGAGCCAGGUGAAGACUGAGCCCUACUGGAGACGGUCCUCAGGCCCGCCUGGACCCCAGGCCCACCUGGAGAGUACACCAGCUCCAUGGACCUCACGCAGCCUGCUUGGGUGGGGCUUGUGCGGGGCUGUGACAAGAGGACCGAGGACUGUUCUGUGGCUGACUCUUGCAGGAGAGCUGUAGGUGCGCCUCAACACCCAGUUCAACAGUAAUCAUAGUCCUGAGCCAGGCCCUGGGCUUUCCAUGUAUUGUCUGACGUGUCCCCACAGCUAUCCUGUGACGUAGGCACUGUUGGUAUCCCUGUUGUACAGAUCUGGGAACUAGCUCAAGGGGUUCAGUGAUCUGCCCAAGCAAUGGAGUAGUGUGCUGGGGCUGGGAUUCGCAUCAACCCCACACCUCAACAAAGAUUCAUCACAGGAGAAAAAUAAAGGGCUUCAUGUGGAAUCCUCUCUGUGCACUCACUUUAAUUCUCACAACAAUCCCCUGAGGCAGACCCUGUAAUUAUUUCCAUUUUACAGAAUAGGAAGCUGAGGCCCUGAGUGGUUAAGUCACUUGCCCGUGAUCACACUGCUUGCAAGUGGCAGAGCCAGGGCUCACAGGCAUGUCCCUUUGACUCCAGCUUCUGUAUACAUAACCACUUCCCCGCCAUGGUCUGCACAAAGUCUGUCUUAAUAACCCUACAAAGCGGCUAAUGGUCUGAUUAGCAAAAAUCCAGUUAGUGGAUUAUUAAGGUGAUUUCAUAUUAUUAUUAGCAUUUUGUAUGAGGUAAAGUCAGCCUCAUACAAAAAGUAGGUUUUCUUACCACUUAAAGGUCCUAUUUUUGGAAAAAUCUGACCCUGUGUUAGAGAGCAGAGGGCUAUUUUUAUCUGACUGGCGUGGGUCCCUUGCGGCCUCCAGAGUCUUUAUGGAAGCAAUUAGCGACGGCCACCCACCUGUGCCACGUCCCAUUCUUCUGGCUCUGGUCACGUGCAGAUCUAAAGUUACAGGAGGGCCACUGGGAAGACUGUGGACUCACCACCUUCCCUCCCUCCCUCCCCCCAGAGAUUGCAGACAAAUUGCCAGGCGUCUGCCCUGUCAUCCACGAGAGAAUAUCAUCGUCAUUAAGGCGGGUGCCACACUUGAAACUGAAUUUUCCAUUUGCAGCUUCAUUUUGGAGGGAAUUUACUUAACGAGUUUACAGAGACCCUAGUCGUAUCCUCGCUGUAAUACCCUCCGGAGGUCCGCAGCUGGGCAGCCUUGCGGUGCAUUGUGUUCCUGACUGACUGCUGGCUAAUAAUGAUGUUUCUCUCGUUGUUCUAGUGCCCUGGAGGCAGCAGUUUCUCUUGGGGGCGAAGACCUGACCCCAUUCUAUGGUCUGGUGUCUGGUGGCAGGGAAGGAAAAUUCUACAGGGAGCUGGAAGACUAUUUUUACUAUUCUCAGC